UACGAAGGGGGCUAGCGUUGUUCGGAAUUACUGGGCGUAAAGCGCGUGUAGGCGGGUCUUUAAGUCAGGGGUGAAAUGCCAAGGCUCAACCUUGGAACUGCCUUUGAUACUGGAGAUCUUGAGUCCGGGAGAGGUGAGUGGAACUGCGAGUGUAGAGGUGAAAUUCGUAGAUAUUCGCAAGAACACCAGUGGCGAAGGCGGCUCACUGGCCCGGAACUGACGCUGAGACGCGAAAGCGUGGGGAGCAAACCGG
rnacentral:rRNA from 1 species